CCUACGGGAGGCAGCAGUGAGGAAUAUUGGUCAAUGGACGAGAGUCUGAACCAGCCAAGUAGCGUGAAGGAUGACUGCCCUAUGGGUUGUAAACUUCUUUUAUAUGGGAAUAAAACGUUCCACGUGUGGGAUUUUGUAUGUACCAUAUGAAUAAGGAUCGGCUAACUCCGUGCCAGCAGCCGCGGUAAUACGGAGGAUCCGAGCGUUAUCCGGAUUUAUUGGGUUUAAAGGGAGCGUAGGUGGAUUGUUAAGUCAGUUGUGAAAGUUUGCGGCUCAACCGUAAAAUUGCAGUUGAAACUGGCAGUCUUGAGUACAGUAGAGGUGGGCGGAAUUCGUGGUGUAGCGGUGAAAUGCUUAGAUAUCACGAAGAACUCCGAUUGCGAAGGCAGUUCACUGGACUGCAACUGACACUGAGGCUCGAAAGUGUGGGUAUCAAACAGGAUUAGAUACCCUUGUAGGC
rnacentral:rRNA from 1 species